rnacentral:rRNA from 1 species
AUGUCACGUCGAGGUACUGCAGAAAAAAGAACUGCAAAAUCCGAUCCAAUUUUUCGUAAUCGAUUAGUUAACAUGGUGGUUAAGCGUAUUAUGAAAGACGGAAAAAAAUCAUUGGCUUAUCAAAUUCUCUAUCGAGCCGUGAAAAAGAUUCAACAAAAGACAGAAAAAAAUCCACUAUUGGUUUUACGUCAAGCAAUAUGUAGAGUAACUCCCAAUAUAGGAGUAAAAACAAGACGUAAUAAAAAAGGAUCGACGCGGAAAGUUCCGAUUGAAAUAGGAUCUAAACAACAAAGAGCACUUGCCAUUCGUUGGUUAUUAGAAGCAUCCCAAAACCGUCCGGGUCGAAAUAUGGCUUUCAAAUUAAGUUCCAAAUUAGUAGAUGCUGCCAAAGGGAGUGGGGGUGCCAUACGCAAAAAGGAAGCGACUCAUAGAAUGAUGAACAAUACAAGGACGAACAGCCUCGCGAGG